UACGUAGGUGACCAGCGUUGUCCGGAAUUACUGGGCGUAAAGCGCACGUAGGUGGCUUUGUAAGUUAGAGGUGAAAGCCCGGGGCUCAACUCCGGAAUUGCCUUUAAGACUGCAUCGCUAGAACGUCGGAGAGGUAAGUGGAAUUCCGAGUGUAGAGGUGAAAUUCGUAGAUAUUCGGAAGAACACCAGUGGCGAAGGCGACUUACUGGACGACUGUUGACACUGAGGUGCGAAAGCGUGGGGAGCAAACAGG
rnacentral:rRNA from 1 species